rnacentral:rRNA from 1 species
UACAAGGAUCCUAGUACGCGAGUGAAACGGGAGGAGCCCAGCCCUGAAUCCCUUAGUCGUAUGGCUACUGGGAACUGUGGGGUUUGGGAGUGCCUYUGAGGCGUGUCUGCGUUUGUCCAGGUUCUCCUGAUUGAGGCUUUAUCCAUAGCGGGUGUAAGUCCCAUUUGAUAGACGCGGCCGUCGCUCUGGCGCUCCUUGGAGUCGGGUUGUUUGAGAAUGCAGCCCAAAGUGGGUGGUAAACUCCAUCUAAGGCUAAAUACAAGCACGAGUCCGAUAGCAAACAAGUACCGUGAGGGAAAGUUGAAAAGCACUUUGAAGAGAGAGUUGGACAGUACGUGAAACCGCUUACAGGUAAACGGAUGGGACCGCAAAGUCGUCCUCGGGCAUUCAAUUCGUCCGCUGGCUGAUCAUGGUGUUGCCUCUGGAGUCCUCGUGGCCUAUGCAGCACCAGUGUUGGUUGGCUGCGGGCGGACGCACUUGCCCGUGCGAUGAGCGUCACAACCGUGUGCGUGGCAGCAUGAAGUUCCCCGGCAAGGUACCUUGCACCCCUUUGUGGGAGCGAGGACUUAUAGGUCGGGUCGAGCGGAGGCUGUUGUGUGCAUGAGGAACUCGGGCCGCCUGCGAGCGCCCCGGUCGCUCUGCUGGUGUCGACUGGCGGGGACUGCUUGCAGUGCCCUGCCGACUUUCACUGUGGAGGUCAGGCCGGGUGUGCGAGUGGGUGUGAAGCAAGGGUUCGUGACGAUAAUGUCGGCACCCCAUCCGACCCGUCUUGAAACACGGACCAAGGAGUCUAGCAUGUGGGCAAGUCAAAGGGACGUACGAAUCCCCACGGCGCAAUAAACGUAAAGGGUUGGCUUUGGUCGAUCUGAGGUGUGAUCCCGUUGGCCUUGUUGCCCGGGCGCAGCACCGGCCCGUCUCGUGGCCUUCGUGCCUGAGGCGGAGCUUGAGCCCACAUGCUGGGACCCGAAA